UUGGGCGUCGACAAGUGGUAAGUCAACUGACUCUGAAUCAGUCAUUCGGAGGUUCGAAUCCUUCCGCCCAAG
rnacentral:tRNA from 3 species